UUCGUUGCAUCUGUAUUUAAACCGAACUUCGAUUUUCGAGUUUGAUCCAGUGGCGGUCUGAGUGCCGGGUUUCUUGUCGAGUCCUGCAACCAUGGCAUAGAAGAAGCAGGGCAAUGCUUGAUGUGUUUUUGAUAGUUUCCGAAUCUAUCGGGGAGUUCCUCCAAUAAUAGCUCUUUCUCUCUAGGUCCUUUGCAUUUUGUGGUCUUUAGAAGCAAUGUCCGUCCCGUCGGCACGUAAUGAUUCAUAUGUUGUGCCUCUACAAGCAUUCUUCGGCUUCAGUCUGUCACCUUGUUCGACAGCUCAAUUUGGCAACUGGAGGUGGAUGUUGAAGCAAAUUCCUGUGGGACCUCAGGCCUCUUGGAUUCAAUACUCACUUGCUCGCCAACAUGAUAGACAGUUGAUGAAUUGGAGUAGUGGUUUUCCUUCAGGGCAUUAUCGUGGCUGAGCUGAGACGCAACGAACUUGUCAAGAACACGCCAAUCGGUCACUUGGUCUGCCA